UCUUACUACUCUGUCUUUUGCA
rnacentral:miRNA from 9 species